rnacentral:rRNA from 1 species
CACGCCGUAAACGGUGGGUACUAGGUGUGGGUCACAUUCCACGUGAUCUGUGCCGUAGCUAACGCAUUAAGUACCCCGCCUGGGGAGUACGGCCGCAAGGCUAAAACUCAAAGGAAUUGACGGGGCCCCGCACAAGCGGCGGAGCAUGCGGAUUAAUUCGAUGCAACGCGAAGAACCUUACCUGGGUUUGACAUGGGCCGGAAACACCCAGAGAUGGGUGCCCCUUUAUGGUCGGUUCACAGGUGG